CGCGGGAUUUUCCGGUUGAUCCCGCCGGAGGUUACUGCUAUCGGAGUUCGAUUAAGCCAUGCNAGUCUAAAGGUUUCUUCGGAAACCUUGGNGGACUGCUCAGUAUCACGUGGAUAACCUACCCUUGGGACUGGAAUAACCCCGGGAAACUGGGGAUAAUACUGGAUAGAUCAGGGAUGCUGGAAUGCACCUUGAUCCAAAGCUCCGGCGCCCAAGGAUGGGUCUGCGGCCUAUCAGAUAGUAGUGGGUGUAACGUACCUACUAUCCAACGACGGGUACGGGUUGUGAGAGCAAGAGCCCGGAGAUGGAUUCUGAGACACGAAUCCAGGCCCUACGGGGUGCAGCAGGCGCGAAACCUUUACAAUGUGCGAAAGCAUGAUAAGGGAACUCCGAGUGCCAGUAUCUAAUACUGGUUGUCCUUGUGCCUAAAACGCACAAGAUAUCAAGGGCCGGGUAAGACCGGUGCCAUCCGCCGCGGUAACACCUGCGGUCCGAGUGGUAGCCGCUAUUAUUGGGUCUAAAGAGUCCGUAGCCGGUUCGAUAAUUCCUCUGGAAAUCUGGUUGCUUAACAAUCAGACUGCCAAGGGAUACUGUCCAACUUGAGACCGGGAGAGGUAAGAGGUACUUCCGGGGUAGGAGUGAAAUCUUGUAAUCCCUGGGGGACCAUCUGUGGCGAAGGCUUCUUACCAGAACGGGUCUGACGGUGAGGGACGAAAGCUGGGGGCGCAAACCGGAUUAGAUACCCGGGUAGUCCCAGCCGUAAACGAUGCUCGCUAUGUGUCAGGUACGGUGUGACCGUAUCUGGUGCCGUAGGGAAGCCGUGAAGCCAGCCACCUGGGAAGUACGGCCGCAAGGCUGAAACUUAAAGGAAUUGGCGGGGGAGCACUACAACGGGUGGAGCCUGCGGUUUAAUUGGAUUCAACGCCGGAAAUCUUACCGGGGGAGACAGCAGCAUGAAGGUCAGGCUGAAGACCUUACCAGAUCCGCUGAGAGGAAGUGCAUGGCCGUCGUCAGUUCGUACUGUGAAGCAUCCUGUUAAGUCAGGCAACGAUCGAGACCCGUGCCCACUGUUGCCAGCAUACCCUUCCGGAUGAUGGGUACUU
rnacentral:rRNA from 1 species